CCUACGGGUGGCUGCAGUGGGGAAUAUUGGACAAUGGGGGCAACCCUGAUCCAGCCAUGCCGCGUGUGUGAAGAAGGCCCUCGGGUUGUAAAGCACUUUCAGUGAGGAAGAACGCCUGGUGGUUAAUACCCAUCAGGAAAGACAUCACUCACAGUAGAAGCACCGGCUAACUCCGUGCCAGCAGCCGCGGUAAUACGGAGGGUGCGAGCGUUAAUCGGAAUUACUGGGCGUAAAGCGCGCGUAGGUGGCUUGAUAAGCCGGUUGUGAAAGCCCCGGGCUCAACCUGGGAACGGCAUCCGGAACUGUCAAGCUAGAGUGCAGGAGAGGAAGGUAGAAUUCCCGGUGUAGCGGUGAAAUGCGUAGAGAUCGGGAGGAAUACCAGUGGCGAAGGCGGCCUUCUGGACUGACACUGACACUGAGGUGCGAAAGCGUGGGUAGCAAACAGGAUUAGAUACCCGUGUAGUC
rnacentral:rRNA from 1 species